rnacentral:rRNA from 1 species
UACGGAGGGUGCAAGCGUUAUCCGGAUUCACUGGGUUUAAAGGGAGCGUAGGUGGCUUUGUAAGUCAGUGGUGAAAUGUCGCGGCUCAACCGCGAAACUGCCAUUGAUACUGCUUAGCUUGAAUCACGUCGAGGUGGAUGGAAUAUUACAUGUAGCGGUGAAAUGCUUAGAUAUGUAAUAGAACACCGAUUGCGAAGGCAGUUCACUAGGCGUGUAUUGACACUGAGGCUCGAAAAGCGUGGGGGAUCAAAACAGGG